GUGGCAGCAGCUCAGUGGUAGAGCUCCCGCUUCAUAUGCGGGAAGACCUGGGUUCGGUUUCCGACUGCUUCC
rnacentral:tRNA from 1 species